CGGGACGGGUGAGUAAUGUCUGGGAAACUGCCUGAUGGAGGGGGAUAACUACUGGAAACGGUAGCUAAUACCACAUAACGUCGCAAGACCAAGAGGGGGACCUUCGGGCCUCUUGCCAUCGGAUGUGCCCAGAUGGGAUUAGCUAGUAGGUGGGGUAACGGCUCACCUAGGCGACGAUCCCUAGCUGGUCUGAGAGGAUGACCAGCCACACUGGAACUGAGACACGGUCCAG
rnacentral:rRNA from 1 species